UUAGAUUUCAAAACAGCCUUAUCAGUUAAAACACAUGAAAAAACAAUAUCUAUUCAAGAAAAAUAUGUGACGCCCCACUUCUCCCUAAAGCGAACCAAAGGGUAUCCGCGGGACGUCUGCCCAACUCUCGCCAGGACUCAUUACAUUCCACAAUUCACAAACUCGGAAUACCUCAAUAAUACUUCAAAUAACUUCAAUACAUAAUAAAAGUACUCCAAAAUAUCUCACACUUACAAUUAAUCAGCUCUCAAGCUUAAUACAUCUCAAAAGAAUAUUUACUACAGCCAUCUGCUGUAAUACAAUUUAAAAUCUUCAAAAGAAGGCAAUCUAGUACUAUUCACGUGCACUCUUGGUCUCGAACCCUAUUAAAAAAAUCCAAAACGUGGGAUGAGCUACACAGCCCAGUGAGGUUCCAAAACACUCUAGCAGUUCUAAUAAAUCAAGUAAUUGAGCAUACUGCAUGUAUGGUUCAAGGUUGCACAUUGACAUAUUAAUAUGAGACAAUAAUCAUUGUACAAGUAAUUUGAGCAUAUCACAGGUAUGGCACAUUUGCAUGAAACGGUUAUCAUUAUGUAAAAUAAACACACAUUGAAGGAUACGGUGUUCCAGUGAAACCAUGUCGGUCAUCUACACCUUAUAACUUCCGGAUCCCCACGGUACUGUCUGGCCAUCGCCUUAUCCUUUCAGUGGUAGUACUGAUCCAGUCAAGAAUAGAAUUCCAGUACGAGUAGUGAAGGAACUGACUCUUAUCAAAAGGAGGACGGGACUCGAGUAUACCGAAACGGUGACUCAGGGUUCCAACCUACCCGACCGAGCCCAGUCCUGACUCGAGUAGGUCAGUAACCAAAGGUAGGAUCCAAGUUCAGUUUAGAGCUUACAGCAUGCACAAGUAAUCAAAUAAUUUGGCAAACAGUAAAAAUUUAUUCUUUUGGUAGGUCGAGUGAGAUAAAAUGCACACUCGCCUUAAAAUGGUGGACAAUUUCAUAUGAGCAAUUACUAGCAAUAAUUAACACAUAAACACAUAAGUAAUAUUUAAAAAUUUCAUGUGAACAUGUAAUUUAUGGUAAUCAAGUAAUCAAGUAAGCAGGUAGUCAAAUAGAUUAGAAAACGGUAAGUAAACACGGUUAACGGUAAAUAGUAAACGGUAAACGGUAAACGGUUAACGAUAGUAAUUAUAGUUAAUUGGUAGACAUAUGUCAUUUUAAUAGGCCGCAUUUGGCCGUGUCCCACUAUUACCAUGUAAGAGUCGAGAAGAUUCACUCCAAUCGACUUGAGCUGCCAUAGCAUAAUUAAUCAUUUAAACACAUCACAUAAAUAUGCAAAUCAAGUAUUUCAUAUCGAGUAAUUCAAGUAGUCAUGUAAAUAUGCUCUUCAAACAUUUCAUAUCGAGUAAUUCAAAUAUACCUUACUUAAAUAUGCAUGAGUGUGGUAAAUACUUAACAUGUAGCACUUAACACUUAAUGAUCAUGGAAUAAGCAUGUCAUAGACUUAUUCAAAUUACGUACUCCUAUAUGGAACACUCGCUUAUUCAGAACAAGUGAGUAAGUACGCAAAAAAGUGUUUAGGCGUCCACUUCGAGUUCCUCUUGAAGGUUUCCUUGGGCGCCUAAGCAAAUAACCAUCAAUUAUUAUACACUAUCACUUAGAACCUCUACUUAUCAAAGAAUGUUGUACUAGUGUAUAAUCUAAGGAAAAUUCAUGAAUUGAGCCUUAAUUAUUCAUAAUCGAGGCUCGGUAGUGGCGUUCAAAAACACAAGAGAAAUCUGAUUGUUGCCUUUGAAAUCAAGUGUAAAAUGGUCUAGCAAUAUCGGAGGAAAAUGAAGAGUUUGAAACCCUUAAUUUCCUUUAAGUUCGGAAAUUUCAGAUUCGGCAAGCAAAUUUUGAAAAAUCAGAUCUCACUCUCUAUGAGUCCAAAAUUGGAAAACUUAGUACCGUUGGAAACUACAUCCAAAUUACUAAAAGUUUCUAGAAGAACUUUUCCAUAAUUCCAAAUGAAUGACAUUCAAAAGUUGGCUCAAAGUUACUGCUUUAGAAUACCAAGACAGUUUCAAGGUUGGUUUCUGGGCAACUUUGGAAAUUAGGUAAAAUUCACACGUUGCAAACCAGCCUCCAAAAUUUGUAACUCAAUUAGAGUUAUAAUCAAAGUUUAAAACAAAACAAGUGGAGAAAGAAUCAGAGUUUUGAGCACCAAGAUAUGGUAGUUCAAAAUUAGUGAAAAUGUGAAACUGUUACGUAAAUUCCAAGUUUAAUUCACAAAUUUGGGACUUUGAUUGAAUAUCGAAAUGGACUCAGAAUGGCACCAAAUUUGGUAGUAUUAUCCUACCAUAUAAGGGCUAUUUCUCUACCAAAUUUCAUACGAAAAUUCAUUCGGAAAGUUGGUUAACGAAAUCACUAAAGUCCCAAGAAGUUCUUCGGCAAAUCUGCCUUGGACUUCCGUUUUUCCGUUUUCAAAACGUUUGGCCAAUAAAAUACCUCAAACACGGUUCAUUUCAGUAGAUAAUGUCUAAAAUAUGUCCAAAGUACAUUUGAUAGAUGAUUAACACCAAAAAUUUCGGAUAACAAACCCCAAACUAAGAUUAGUUAAGGAUCAGUCCAAAAUGAAGAAUUUCAUAACUGAGUCAGUUUCAAACUUUGGCCACAACUCACUCAAUUCAACUCAAAAUUGAGCGUGGUUGAUGGCGUUAGAAAACACAUUCAUAAAGAUAAAAUUUAUCAGAAGAAACUAUUUACGAAAUCUAUCCACAACUAGCCCCAAUUUGAGCAUCAAGUUGUAGUUCCUGUUCUGCCUUCCAGUGAACCCGAGAAACAGAACAGUCAAGUUCAAAUGAGUGGUAUGGUUUGUUCGAGUAGAAUCAGGAUGUGUAUUUUAUACCAUUAGAAAGCUAGGGAUGUCUAGUUUCCAGUUCCGCAAACAGCACUCGAUUUUGACAUCGGAAUAAAAAGAUAUAACCAAAACAAAAACACUGUCUGGAUGAAUACAGGAAUAGUUUCCAAAUUUCUAAGCUUUCGUAAAUCCAACAUUUGGGUGACCAAAACAAGUUAUUUUUCAAUGAAACUUUUUACACAACCAAUAUAACAUGUAAAUAAUAUAAACAAGCCAUUAGAACCUCAAAAUUUUGCACAAAAAAAAAGGUCGGACAAGGCAGGGGUAAAAUGGUCACUUUUGCUCCAAGCACCUCCUUUGAUUUUCUACCAACAAUAUAACAUUAAUCCACUAAUUUAAACACUAAACCACCAUUAAUUUCAUCAUCAAUCAUCAAAUCAGUCCUUCUAUCAAAAGUGGGAAUUCAUAGAGCCCACACACCAAAAUUCAAUAUAAAUAAAGCUACCCACAUGAAAAUACAAGCUUAUAAGUACAAUACUACUUCCAUAAACUAAGAUUCAAGAGGUUGAUCGUCUAUUACCUCUUUAGAUGAUAAAAUCAGAAAUUUUGGUCACAAAAAACUCUAAGAAAAAUCGUGAGAUGAUGUCCUUCUUCUAGUUUAAGAUAAUCACCAAGUGUUUAGCAAUGUGUGUUCAAAGUUUGAUGUGAUUUGGUGAAAAAUUAGUGAAGAUUUGAAGAAGAAAUUGAAGAAGAAACUUGGUUCUUUUCUCUCUUGAGGUGCACGGCUGGAAU
rnacentral:lncRNA from 1 species